GCACAAGCGGUGGAGCAUGUGGUUCAAUUCGACGCAACGCGAAGAACCUUACCUGGGCUCGAAGCGCAGUGGACCGGGGUAGAAAUAUCCCUUCCCCUUAAAAGGCUGCUGCGGAGGUGCUGCAUGGCUGUCGUCAGCUCGUGUCGUGAGAUGUUGGGUUAAGUCCCGCAACGAGCGCAACCCUUAUCCCUAGUUGCCAUCGGGUCAAGCCGGGCACUCUAGUGAAACUGCCUCGGAUAACGAGGAGGAAGGUGGGGAUGACGUCAAGUCCUCAUGGCCUUUAUGUCCAGGGCUACACACGUGCUACAAUGGUCGGUACAAACCGUCGCAAACCCGUGAGGGGGAGCUAAUCGGAAAAAGCCGGCCUCAGUUCGGAUUGGAGUCUGCAACUCGACUCCAUGAAGCUGGAAUCGCUAGUAAUCGUGGAUCAGCAUGCCACGGUGAAUACGUUCCCGGGC
rnacentral:rRNA from 1 species